UACGGAGGGGGCUAGCGUUGUUCGGAAUUACUGGGCGUAAAGCGCACGUAGGCGGAUAUUUAAGUCAGGGGUGAAAUCCCGGGGCUCAACCCCGGAACUGCCUUUGAUACUGGGUAUCUGGAGGUCGAGAGAGGCGAGUGGAAUUCCGAGUGUAGAGGUGAAAUUCGUAGAUAUUCGGAGGAACACCAGUGGCGAAGGCGGCUCGCUGGCUCGAUACUGACGCUGAGGUGCGAAAGCGUGGGGAGCAAACAGG
rnacentral:rRNA from 1 species